rnacentral:piRNA from 1 species
UCCUGGCCUCAAGAAUCUGCAGAUAAAGU